rnacentral:misc_RNA from 1 species
UUUUCAGUGAAGUCCUUUUGACCUACAAUCUCUCUCUCUCUCCCUCUCUCUGUCUCACUAUGUAAAUUUCUUAGCUUAUCAUCGCUGGUUUCGCCUAUUUUCUGAUUUCAGAUACGUAAACUUUUUCGGUUUUCAAAAUCAAACAGACUCGCAGAGGUUGUUUAUCUUGCAAUGGAUGCUGCAACAAUGAAGUCACAACACCGACCGUUUUCAAUUAAAUUAUGGCCACCUAGCCAAAACACAAGGCAAAUGCUUGUGACUCGUAUUACAGGAAAUCUCACUACUAAGUCAAUUUUCACCGAGAAGUAUGGCACUCUGAAUAAAGAGGAGGCUGAGGAGAAUGCAAAGAGAAUUGAAGAUGUUGCUUUUGUCACUGCAAACCAACAUUAUGAAAUGGAGCCAGAUGGUGAUGGAGGGUCUGCUGUGCAGCUAUAUGCAAAGGAGUGUAGUAAGCUAAUUUUGGAAGUUCUUAAAAGAGGUCCCGCGCAAAAGGAGGACAGAGAAGUCCUGGUAUCUGAAGAAGCUGCUGCAUACCAUAAUAAAGUUUUUGAUAUAUCUAAAGGCGCAAGAGCCUUUAUUGAUGCAACAGAGGCUGUGGAUAUACUUAGGCCAUUAAAGGAGCCAGGGAAUUCAUAUACUAAGAUAUGCUUCAGUAAUAGAAGCUUUGGUCUAGAAGCUGCCCGUGUUGCUCAGCCCAUUUUAGUUUCCAUAAAGGAUCAAUUGAAGGAAGUUGAUUUGUCGGAUUUUAUUGCUGGAAGACCAGAAGCAGAAGCUCUUGAUGUUAUGAAUAUAUUUUCUUCUGCUCUGGAAGGUAGCAUCCUGAAGUCCUUAGACCUCUCAAACAAUGCCUUGGGGGAGAAGGGUGUGAGGGCCUUUGGGGCACUACUUCAAUCACAAAGUUGCUUGGAGGAGCUUUAUCUAAUGAAUGAUGGCAUUUCAGAGGAAGCUGCACGAGCAGUUUGUGAAUUGAUUCCUUCCACAGAGAAGCUUAGGAUCCUUCAUUUCCAUAAUAAUAUGACAGGAGAUCCAGGGGCUCUUGCCAUUUCUGAGGUUCUGAAACGUUCUCCCUUACUGGAAGAUUUUCGAUGCUCUUCCACAAGAAUAGGCACAGCAGGAGGAAUUGCCUUGUCAGAAGCGCUCAAGACUUGCAUUCAUUUGAAGAAGCUAGACCUGCGAGACAAUAUGUUUGGUGCAGAAGCUGGAGUUGCUCUGGGUAAAGCUCUUUACAAGCAUGCUGGUCUGACUGAGGUUUAUUUAAGUUAUCUGAAUUUGGAAGAUGAGGGUGCUGUUGCCAUAGCAAAUUCUCUCAAGGAAACAGCUCCUGCGCUUGAAGUAUUGGAAAUGGCUGGAAAUGACGUAACAGUUGAAGCUGCUCCUACUGUGUCUGCUUGCAUAGCAGUGAAGCAGAAUCUGAGAAAGUUGAACUUGUCUGAAAAUGAGCUGAAGGAUGAAGGUGCUAUCCAGAUUAGCAAGGCCUUGGAAGAAGGCCAUCUUCAGUUGAAUGAAGUUGAUUUGAGCACCAACUCCAUAGGAAGGGUUGGGGCUCUGGUCUUGGCACAAGUUGUGGUGCAGAAGCCCAACUUUAAAUUGCUGAAUAUAAAUGAUAAUUGCAUCUCUGAUGAAGGCAUUGAUGAGGUGAAGGAAAUCUUUAAGAAAUUCCCGGGCAUGCUUGGGCCCUUGGAUGAGAAUAGUCCUGAAGGAUGUGAUGAUGAAGAAGAAUAUGGAGAGGAUCAGGAUGAUGGUGAUCAGCAUGACUUGGAAUCCAAACUGAAUAAACUUGAAGUUAAUGAAGAGGAUUAAAGGUUUUCUUAUUCUGGACAAGUUUCAUGGGGUUCUAUUCUAGUAGUAAUCCCGGGUAGAUAAUUAUGCAGGACAUGUUCACAGAAUUUUGGACCGACUGUUCUGUGCAAUCUUGGAAUGCUGAGCAGAGCAGUGGCUGUGAGCUGCAAUUGAAAUUAGUAGGAUCUUUCCAUCAUCUUUUUUUCAUUAGCCAUUUAUCUUGUUUUGGUUAGUGCGGCAACAAGAUUCUGUAGUAGGUUUUAAUAAUGCUAGUACUUCAUUUUCUUAAAAAAAAAUUUAUAUUUUCA